rnacentral:rRNA from 1 species
UACAGAGGUCUCAAGCGUUGUUCGGAUUCAUUGGGCGUAAAGGGUGUGUAGGCGGCGCCGUUAGUCGGGUGUGAAAUUUCGGAGCUUAACUCCGAAACUGCAUUCGAUACUGCGGUGCUUGAGGACUGGAGAGGAGACUGGAAUUCAUGGUGUAGCAGUGAAAUGCGUAGAGAUCAUGAGGAAGACCAGUGGCGAAGGCGGGUCUCUGGACAGUUCCUGACACUGAGACACGAAGGCCAGGGGAGCAAACGGG